rnacentral:rRNA from 1 species
CGAGGUGGCUAGCGUUGUUCGGAAUCACUGGGCAUAAAGGGCGCGUAGGCGGUCGUGCAAGUCGGUUGUGAAAGCCCUCGGCUUAACCGAGGAACUGCAUCCGAUACUGUUCGGCUAGAGUACGGAAGGGGAUAGUGGAACUCCUGGUGGAGCGGUGAAAUGCGUAGAUAUCAGGAGGAACGCCGGUGGCGAAAGCGACUAUCUGGUCCGCAACUGACGCUGAGGCGCGAAAGCCAGGGGAGCAAACGGGAUUAGAUACCCCAGUAGUCC